rnacentral:rRNA from 1 species
AUGUGGUUUAAUUCGAAGCAACGCGAAGAACCUUACCAGGUCUUGACAUCCCUGACAACCCGAGAGAUCGGGCGUUCCCCUUCGGGGGACAGGGUGACAGGUGGUGCAUGGUUGUCGUCAGCUCGUGUCGUGAGAUGUUGGGUUAAGUCCCGCAACGAGCGCAACCCUCGCCUCUAGUUGCCAGCAUUCGGUUGGGCACUCUAGAGGGACUGCCGGCGACAAGUCGGAGGAAGUGGGGAUGACGUCAAAUCAUCAUGCCCCUUAUGACCUGGGCUACACACGUGCUACAAUGGGCGGUACAAAGGGCUGCGAACCCGCGAGGGGGAGCGAAUCCCAAAAAGCCGCUCUCAGUUCGGAUUGCAGGCUGCAACUCGCCUGCAUGAAGUCGGAAUCGCUAGUAAUCGCAGGUCAGCAUACUGCGGUGAAUACGUUCCCGGGCCUU